CCCACUAAGAAUAAUAAUCUGUUUUACAUGAGAAUCCUGGACAAAUAUUAACACAUCAUAAACACAAUAUUAAAACAUCCCUCACAUAAAACAUUUUCAGACAAAUAAUUCUCUAUAAAGAUCUUUAGGAGUAACAUUAAAAGCAUUUAGUGACAGCAGCACUAAUGACCAAGUUGUAGCGUUUCUGUGACUGCCUCCAUGCAGAUGAACUUCACACUUUAGGCCUGAAAAGUAAAAGAACGUUCUCACAACGAAGAGAAGAACCUCAGUAGCUUUUCCAGUUCUGUCGGCCAACAAACAGGAGGAAGCAGUCCAAGUAUGGCUUUGAAAUAAAAGUGUGCCAAUGAUGGAGUCUACAGGGGGCCUCAGAUGUCCACCCAACUGGUGCGUACAACAAUAUAUAAAACUUUUUAACCUGUUAUAAACCUUAAGGCUCCAGCAUGCAUGUAUAAAAUGUCACCAUAAUCCUGGACAUACAAGAAAGAAGCAUCAACAGUCACUUUUUAGCCUCAAAAGAGAGGCAUGAUCUGAUCCUAAAAUAAAACCACAAUUUUAAUUUCAACUUCCUCACCAACUGUUGAACAUGGAGUGCAAAAGGUUGACAGUCAUCAAAUAAAAAUCCUAAAUUCCUCAAUUUUUAAACCUUGAGCUGUAGAAAUGACUGCCAGAUCUUUACCUUCAAAUAAAUAAACAGGAGCAGCCCCAGAACUGACCCCUGUCUGUAGAACACCAUUGAUUCUUGGAAGAGAAGUAGAAACCUUCUCCAUGCAAACCUGAUGGUCAGAUAGACCAUCCCAGAGUUUGUUCAGACAAGCCAAUAGUGUGUAGCCUCUGCAUUAGAACCUCUUGGUCAACUGUAUCAAAUAUCAAAUAAUAAAUAUAUCAAUAAAAAGGUGUGCACAAUGUUGCUUAUUUUUUAAAAAUUCAUUAAAACCAUUAAUCACUUGUAGCGCAGCUGUAGGAGUACUACAGCAUGUGGCUACGUGAGAUUUUUAGUAGUCUAGUAAAAAAACUUUAAUUAUAGGACAAUCUGUCACUGUUUCAGAAUAUUUGGCAACCCUUAUAGAAGAAUCUGUCUCUGCUGAAUAUCGAAUAUAUUCUUUUUUUGUUGCUUUUUUGUUACAUAAAUAAAACAUUUUGAGCUUUUCUAUGUAAAUUUAUAGCUGUAUAUUGUGAAACGCUUAAUAAUAAAAAGAAAGGAAGAAAAGGUGAUGCAAUAAAAUCAACAGAUAGGGUUCCAUCUGAUCAGAACCUGCUGAUUUUAAGGAUCCAAAAGCUAGAUAGCACUGUACACUUCAGAUAAACCAGUUGUGUGAAACAUGUUCUGUUCUCACAUACAACAUUAUUAAGAGAUUCUGGACCAACCCAGUUUUCUGUGUAAAUGCUGUUUCUAUAGACAUCUCAGUGAAUAAACAGGUCAAUGCAAACAGAACUGAGUUCUAUUCAUACCAAUCCAAUGCCUGUGGCAGAUAAAAACAGCCAAUACCUUCAUAAAGAAAGAAUCUUGUGGCCAAGUGGCUCGGAGGAUGUGCAGAAAUUUCCCUGAAAUUGCUUCGACCUGCACUGAAAAUUUGCAACCACUACGUAGAAGCCAGGAUUGUGCCAAGAAACCAGCCAAUCAGAAUCAUAAUUAGAGCCAGAACCAUGCUAGAAGCUGUUUAGUUGAGACAAAAAGUUGUGGGUUUCUCUCUUAUAGACUUUAAAUCUUGCAUCAGUGGGUUUGGUUGUUCAGUUCUGUGAAAAAAUGUUUUGUAUUUAAAUGUCUGUAUGCAAAUGUGACCUCCAAAUGAUUUAUUCCUUUAAUAUUUCAUGUUGAAAGGUUAGAAGCCUUGUUAUUUUCCAGGAUGUCUGGGUGGUUCCAGAUGGGUUUUGGUCUGCAUGGGAGAACUGAAGACCAGUUCAUCUUGAGAUCUUCCCACAGGCAGCCAGAGAUGUACUGAUAGUGAUGCUUUUAAAACUGCUAAUAAUUAGAGGGCUGAUAAAUGGAAUAUCUGACAUAAAGGUUUCCAUAGCAUGUGUUCAAUGAAGUGAAGUUUAAUUAAAAAAAAGUGCUUAAUCACGAUUAAUUUAUGAUUUAAGAAGGGUGAAGCAACCAGUUAUUAGUUUAAUGGGUGAUGUGUCCUCAGGUUAUCUUUGUCUGAUAUUAACAUUUCUUUAAUGAACUGAAACAUUUGAGUUGGACAAAAAGCAAAACUAAAGAAAUACUUCUGCACAGCCACAUAUUUAUUUGAGCCUGUAUGAAUACUUUUGGACCUCUAAAUUCAAAUUAAUGAACUCAUUUCCUGUUGUUGUUAUCUUAUCAUUGCAGCCUGGACAAAGAAUGUUUCAUCUAUGCUAAACUUUUUACCCAAACAGUAUUUGUUUAACAUGAUCAUUGCUCAGAACUGGCUUAAAAUAGAAAAUAUUUUAUUUCAAUCCAACCCUCAUUUCCUAUUCAAGGCAACAGAAAUAAAGAAGAAACAAGGACCAGACAUUCUUGACUAUUUGUUAACGUUUGCCAAAAUUAUAUUGUUUUUUAUUUCCACACCUGUUCAAAAAUGCAUGUCAGCUAGCUUUAACAGAGGCUGUAACUCAUUUCCUUGGAGCAACCUCCCCCUUGGUUCUGAAGAUCUGAAAAAGCAGCCAGUGUGUCAGAUCCAAACCCCUACAACAUGUUUGAUCAGCAGCGGACUCGUGACAAUAAUCCAUCCAGCAGACAGGAUAACGGGGGACAUGCUGUCAGUGUUUGGGUUCAAACAGCUGGGAGCCAUCGACUGACCCGAUACCGACCAGAGGGCGUCUCUCACACUGACGGAACCUGCAAAAUCAGGCCUGCUUAUUGAAGAUCAAUAUUCUUUGUGGACACGCUGAGAUGGCCUGAUGAGAACGCAGGGAGGAAAUCAUUAGGAUCCAGCAGCAAGAAUCGGACAGAAAUGUACUUUUUAUUUUGGGACUUUGCUGAAAUGAUGGUUUUUCUUUCUGUGAUCAGCAGAUUUUAGAAAUGUUGGAGUCUGAUUAUAAUACAACUUAUCUCACAAUGGAGAAAUCGACCUCUGCAUUCAACCCAUCCUUUAGAGAGCAGUGGGCUGCCAUUGUGUGGCGCCCAGGAGCAUUCAGAGGUUAAAGGUCAUGCUCUGGGACCCAGAGUGGCAGGCUGUGGGAUUCAAACCAGAGUACUGGUGGCCUCUCUGGGUCACAAAUACCCUGCUCUCUAACCUCUAGGUCACCAUCCACACUGAUUGAAUGAUUCCAGGUAUUCAGAACCCUGUUUUUAUGUUAAUGGUUAAAUAAGAAUAUUUUAAUUACUGCUGAUCUUUAAAAAGUAAAGGAUUCUUUAGCAUUUUACUUGCAGACACACGUUACUGGAUAAAUAAAUUGUGACUCAUGUCAUGGUUAUUGGGAUACUGAGAUUUUUAAUGGUAGGGACCAGGAUGGACAGCGUUAGAACUGAGCAGAUCAGAGGAACCACUAAGGUUGGCAGGUUUGAAGAUCAAGUUAUGGAGGCAAGGGUGAGAUGGUCAGGGCAUGUUCGGAGAAGAGAUGGUGGACAGACUGGAAAGAGGAAGUUGGAGACGGAGCUGCCAGGCAGGAUGAGAAGAGAAAGACGUUUCAUGGACGUAGUGAAGAAGGACAUGGAGACGGUUGGUGUAAAAGUUCAAGAAGCAAAGGAUAAGGUGAGAUGGAGGCAGAUGAUCCACUGUGGAGACCCCAGAGAGGAACAACUGAAAGAUUAGUAGCACUACCAUUGAUAUGAGUAGUGCUACUAGUAGUGAUUCUAGUAGUAGUGGUGGAACUAGUACUAAUAAUAAUCACAUCUCAUUAUUAUACAGUGUUUCCUCCCAGCUUGUGCAAUAAAAAUGUUUAAUAUUUAAUAUACUGAGAAAAUUAUUAUAUUAAUUAUGAUAAAUUAAUCAAUGUCAGCACUGUGAAAGCUCAACAACCGUGAUCCUGUCUGAUUGUCCUCCAGAGCAGGUGUUCUGUGUCUGCUGCUACCUGCCUGGGUGGGACGUGGAGCUGGCUCCUCCCUCCUGGCGCCUAGCUCCUCUGCUAUCCAAUCACAAGGGGACCAGGAGGGAUCAGACUCAAUGACAAAUUGUUGGUCUGUGCCUGAUGUUAUUCAGCCAUCCCAGUACCUUCCCAGUCCCAUUCCUUCCUAGUAUAGAUCUUUAGAUCAUUUCAGAACCAGUUAAAGACCAGACCUGUUUCAUGCACUGAUACAUGAAACUUAUUUGAUUCAUGACUAAAUACUCCAUUUAUGAAGUGAUGUUUGUUUCUACAGUUUUAAUAUCCAAUAACCUCUUAAAAAUCAAACUGAACUCCUAGUUGUGUUUUCACUGGUUGAUAUUAAAUCAGCUAAAACCUUAGUGCUAUAAAGGGAAAUCUUACGGUUCUCAGGCACCGUGUCACUCCAGGAGCUCUCACUGGAAACAGGACCAAUGGGUCUCUUUCUGGUAUCACGCAGGUUCUGUCAGGUUCCCAGGCUCGUUACCAUGACCCAUACGUUCAUGGAAAACAUGUUGCUCAGUAAUAAAAUCGGUCGUGACAGCAUGUUGUUGGAAUGACUGGUCUGUGGUUGAACUUUGCUCUGGUGUGAAUGUUGACACCAGUAAAAUUAAUGUUGAAUUUAGCUUUUUUUUUUUGGAAGCCAUAUUUCCAUCAAAAAGUUGAAUAUUUUUUUAUUUAACUGUUGCGAGUGGUACCAACAGGCGGAUGGUGCUUAAGGGAAUGCUAACUGUGGCGGACUUUAACUGGUUUUAUCUCUUCAGAACAUCAACCAAGAACACCAAGAGGAUGAUUUUGUUAAACCUGCUACAGACCAGAAUAACUCCUGCAACUGUAUGAAACAUCCAUAACUACAAAAAUAUACAUGAUGCACGCCUCGAACUUGUGAUUAUGGAAAAACGCAACUAAUGUAUCUUAAAAAUGUGAUUUCUUCUGACUUGUUUUAUGGACGUAUCUCCUUUCAGAGGAACAAAAAUCCUGGAGAAGCAGAAUGUGGAAAAACAAAACACCAAGUUUUAUUUUGAAAUGUCUCUUUUCAGUUGUCUUACUUUUUGCAUGCUUUUUUGGAAAAUGUUUUCACCAGUGUUAAAGAUGGAAAGAUUCAAUUAACAGUAAAACUCUUCAGAUGAAAUAAAAUGGACAGAAAAAUGAAUCAUUUUCUUUAUUUUUUUGGGAGGAAGGGAGGGUUGAAACAAAAAUAAAAUGAGAUACAACAACUGAGAAGCUGCUCCUCCUUAGAUUUGAAUGAUGGGUCUGGACCCACCUCCUGCGCCUCGAUGAGGACAGCCAAUCACAGUGUAGUGUCCAUAAUAUCCCAUGAUGUCUCUCUCUCCAUGGGAGACUAAGGCAGUCAAAGACAGUGGGUCACAGUAUGCAUGUACGCAGGUGAGAUGUUGCACCAGAAGAAAAGAUCUCCAUUU